GCUGCCCCGAGCCUCAAAGGGAGUGUCAGCGCUGAAGAAUGCCUCGCCCUCCUCCUCCUCCUGCUCCGCUCGCCAGGAUUCAGCCGCCGUCCAGCCGGCUGACAGCUUCCCCACCACAACGCCUGGCGACUGAAGGGACCACACACACUCCAUGUUCUCCAUGCCUGGGUCGAAACUACACAACACUCGUAUCUGUGUCUGUGGAGGCCACAGCUCGAAGGAAGCAAUUCAGAAUCCUGAACGACUUCUAGGUCUCGUUUCUGUGGAGUUCGGAUGCACGUGUUGCAAAAUCCUUUGGACAAACGAAUGUCAAAUGCAAGUGACGUAAUGCAACUUUCGUUUCCAAACCUGGCUGCUCCUUCAGAUGAAAACUUCCCGCUAGCUGUAGAAGGCUUCCACCGGGAAGCAGCUUCAGGAGAUGUUGACUCCGUCACAGAGAAACCAGCCGCUAAUUCCCUCUUGCAUCUAAAUUUGGAUGUUUUUCUGUAGUUUUGUGUCAGUGGCUCAUUCUUUGUUACAGUGCAGGGAAGAAUUUUAGGCUGCAGUGAGCUGAUAAGAUGAAGAGCUGCAGACGACAGAGGCUGAACUGCAGUUUGUUUUGUUUCUUGUAACAUUAGUCUGGUUUCCUUGUUGAGCGAAUGAGUGGACUUGUUAUCAGAGCUAUCAGGGGUAUCAUUAGAAAUGGUUUAAUUCCUGUAGUGAUACAAUACCCGAAGAUAUUUGAGGAUAUAAUGUUCUGAUGUAACAAUAUAAAUGUUUUAACAUGUAUACGUGUGUUUUUCUACAAAAACACAAAGAGGGCAACAUU